GCCGGGCGCGGUGGCGCGUGCCUGUAGUCCCAGCUACUCGGGAGGCUGAGGCUGGAGGAUCGCUUGAGUCCAGGAGUUCUGGGCUGUAGUGCGCUAUGCCGAUCGGGUGUCCGCACUAAGUUCGGCAUCAAUAUGGUGACCUCCCGGGAGCGGGGGACCACCAGGUUGCCUAAGGAGGGGUGAACCGGCCCAGGUCGGAAACGGAGCAGGUCAAAACUCCCGUGCUGAUCAGUAGUGGGAUCGCGCCUGUGAAUAGCCACUGCACUCCAGCCUGGGCAACAUAGCGAGACCCCGUCUCU
rnacentral:SRP_RNA from 10 species